rnacentral:rRNA from 1 species
GAUGAACGCUGGCGGCGUGCUUAACACAUGCAAGUCGAACGAGAAGUGAAGACGGAAACCUUCGGGCGGAAGGCUUUAUUUCGAGUGGCGGACGGGUGAGUAACGCGUGGGUAACCUGCCUCAUACAGGGGGAUAACAGUUGGAAACGACUGUUAAUACCGCAUAAGACCACAGCACCGCAUGGUGCGGGGGUAAAAACUCCGGUGGUAUGAGAUGGACCCGCGUUCGAUUAGCCAGUUGGCGGGGUAACGGCCCACCAAAGCGACGAUCGAUAGCCGAUCGGAGAGGAUGCCCGGCCACAUUGGGACUGAGACACGGCCCAAACUCCUACGGGAGGCAGCAGUGGGGAAUAUUGCACAAUGGAGGAAACCCUGAUGCAGCGACGCCGCGUGAGUGAAGAAGUAUUUCGGUAUGUAAAGCUCUAUCAGCAGGGAAGAAAAUGACGGUACCUGGGUAAGAAGCCCCGGCUAACUACGUG